rnacentral:rRNA from 1 species
AAUGGUUCAUUCUUUUUUACUGUGAACUGUUUUAAUUUUUCAGCGUCUGAGGAAUGUCUUUUAGCCAUAGGGAUAGGCUACUAGAAUGUUAACCGAGCUGAAAGUCAGGCUUAGGCCUGGUAUCCUAUUAAUUAUUUACCAAAAGAAUUCAGUAUUAUAAUUGUAACAUAAGCGUAAAAAACUUAUAAAACAACUUUUAACAACGGAUCUCUUGGUUCUCGCAUCGAUGAAGAACGUAGCAAAGUGCGAUAACUAGUGUGAAUUGCAUAUUCAGUGAAUCAUCGAGUCUUUGAACGCAACUUGCGCUCAAUGGUAUUCCAUUGAGCACGCCUGUUUCAGUAUCAAAAACACCCCACAUUCAUAAUUUUGUUGUGAAUGGAAAUGAGAGUUUCGGCUUUAUUGCUGAAUUCUUUAAAAUUAUUAGGCCUGAACUAUUGUUCUUUCUGCCUGAACAUUUUUUUAAUAUAAAGGAAUGCUCUAGUAAAAAGACUAUCUCUGGGGCCUCCCAAAUAAAUCAUUCUUAAAUUUGAUCUGAAAUCAGGCGGGAUUACCCGCUGAACUUAAGCAUAUCAAUAAGCCGGAG